CCCACUACCACUGAAUGCCUGUAGUGCCACAGAAUGACUUUGUGAUGGAGUGAGGUCUCCGUGUCACUGAGUGGCAUUAUGAUGCAACAGAAUGACAGUCUGAUGUCAUAGAAAGAAAUCCCUUUUGUAAUACCACGGUGGAAAAUUGCAAAGGUGGCAACUUUCCCAACUCUCUUCCAUAUUCUCAAUCACUGCAACUUGCAGAUCCUUGGUCAUUUGCAAAUAAUUAUUGCACUGAAGUAGAGGGGGGAGAAUGAUUAAGAAAAUGUAAAGCAGAAGGGAAAAGAAACAGAUACAUUUGCUAAAUAAGAAGAGUACCAUCCAGCAAAGAAGAAGAAGAAGAUUAAUAGCUGCCUUAGAGCAAAAACAAAUGAACACAAAAUCUAAUUUACAAACCUAUUAGAUUUGCUAUGUAAGCUGUUCACAGAUGAUCUGAUUGUACCUCUGCCUCCAGAAUUCCUGCAAGACAAAGGAAAUGCAUUAUUUAUAAACCCAGCUCCUCUUUGCAAAGCGUUGUUCAACAGUCAAGAGAUCCUCAAAGCUGCAACAACACUCACACUUCACACCAUCCAAAAUGGCAACAUCCGGGGCGGGGUCUCACUCCCUUCUUCAAAGUGGUGCCCCAUUGUGACUGAACCAAAAUUGGGGAGCCACCCCCGUCUGGUAGUCCAAAGAAUAGGUUAAAAGUAAUUUGCAUUAACCAUUUUAGAGUGCCACAGGCUUCAAGUAAAGGGCCUGAUCUUCUCAUCCUGACAAGCUGCACUUGGAGCAAGACGGGGGUCACCAGGAGACUUCAUGCUUCUCUCUCAGAGGAGGACGUGGCAAACAAGAUCCACUUCUAGACUGGACUCCUGGAACUGCGUUUAUCUUGGGCUGUCAGUUAAGGCCAACCAAACAUCUCCAUCCUGUCCAACAGACAGCAGCCCACCUCCUGGCGUUUGCCAAGCUUUCCUCCCGAGGGUGGAUUUAAAGCUCGCAGUCCGGAGGGCAUGUGAAAUGCCAGUCAUGGAGAGCGCUGCAGGCAUCCGAGCCCAUCCAGGAUUGGAGAGGUAUCCUCCCAUUUACAUCUCUAGCCUGAGGGCAUCUAAACUAAAUCUGGUGAUGGCUCUCACAUAAGGGAAUCGCAGAAGAACUCUAUGCCUUAUGUCUCCAACCUGGUGGCAUCUCAAAUGCGGGACAAGGUGUGGCCUGAUGGAAGGAGUUCAGGCAAAUGUUUCAUUUCCCCAGCUGAAACAUGCAGCAGAUACCCAAUGUGAGGACAUCUGCAAUGCUAGUCAUGGUCACUGCAGCAGGCACACAGCUGGCAUAAAGGAUUCUGGGCGGCACUCUCUUGAACUAGGUGGGCGGAUGAAAUGCUGCUCAUGGUGACUGCGCCAGGUCCUUAGCUGAU